rnacentral:rRNA from 1 species
CCUACGGGUGGCUGCAGUGGGGAAUAUUGGACAAUGGGGGAAACCCUGAUCCAGCAAUGCCGCGUGUGUGAAGAAGGCCUGCGGGUUGUAAAGCACUUUCGGUUGGGAAGAAAAGUUUGGCGCCAAUACCGCCGAACCUUGACGUUACUGACAGAAGAAGCACCGGCUAACUCUGUGCCAGCAGCCGCGGUAAUACAGAGGGUGCAAGCGUUAAUCAGAGCGUGUGGGGGGGGACAGUGAAGUCGGGGUCGGAAUCCCCGGGCUUAACCUGGGAACUGCAUUCGAUACUACAUGGCUAGAGUAUGGUAGAGGGAAGUGGAAUUUCCGGUGUAGCGGUGAAAUGCGUAGAUAUCGGAAGGAACACCAAUGGCGAAGGCAGCUUCCUGGACUAAUACUGACACUGAGGCACGAAAGCGUGGGUAGCAAACAGGAUUAGAUACCCUUGUAGUC